rnacentral:rRNA from 1 species
GACGAACGCUGGCGGCGUGCUUAACACAUGCAAGUCGAACAGAAAGGCCCUGCUUGCCGGGUACUCGAGUGGCGAACGGGUGAGUAACACGUGGGUGAUCUGCCCUGCACUUCGGGAUAAGCUUGGGAAACUGGGUCUAAUACCGGAUAGGAACCAUCUUUAGUGUGGUGGUUGGAAAGUUUUUUCGGUGUAGGAUGAGCUCGCGGCCUAUCAGCUUGUUGGUGGGGUAAUGGCCUACCAAGGCGGCGACGGGUAGCCGGCCUGAGAGGGUGUACGGCCACAUUGGGACUGAGAUACGGCCCAGACUCCUACGGGAGGCAGCAGUGGGGAAUAUUGCACAAUGGGCGCAAGCCUGAUGCAGCGACGCCGCGUGGGGGAUGAAGGCCUUCGGGUUGUAAACUCCUUUCGCUAGGGACGAAGCUUUGUUGUGACGGUACCUAGAUAAGAAGCACCGGCUAACUACGUG